UCGGGUGGGUCUCAGCGGUCCGCCUAUGGUGAGUACUGCUGUGGCCUUCCUUACUGUCGGGGACCUGCUUCUGGGCUUCAUUGUCCGGGACAGGGAUUCGGCAUGGUUACUUUGAGUAAAUUAGAGUGUUCAAAGCAGGCUUACGCCGUGAAUACUUUAGCAUGGAAUAACAUGAUAGGACUCUGCCCUAUUCUGUUGGCCUGUAGGAGUGGAGUAAUGAUUAAGAGGAACAGUCGGGGGCAUUCGUAUUUCAUUGUCAGAGGUGAAAUUCUUGGAUUUAUGAAAGACGAACUACUGCGAAAGCAUUUGCCAAGGAUGUUUUCAUUAAUCAAGAACGAAAGUUGGGGGCUCGAAGACGAUUAGAUANNNNCGUAGUCANNA
rnacentral:rRNA from 1 species